rnacentral:rRNA from 1 species
GUCCUUACGGCGUACACGAUCAACAGCGACCUGAAAUAAUGGUGGCCAUCGACGCGGGUAGCUAGAUGUGGAUUCUUCCACGGGAUAAUAAUGCAGAUGAAUUUCAGCAUGCGAUCGUGUUCUCUGCCGUCCAAAUCGGCACAUUGGUUGCAGCCCGCGUCACGGGCUGACGGCACGCCUCCCCUCUCGUCGCGUCUCGCCCGUGUUGAGGAAGUAAGUGCAGUUCACAAGGAGCCAGGGAAGUGCCGAGUUGACCGUUUGUCUGUGUCCAGUAGGUGAGCUGCUGACGGGCGGAUCGUGCCGAGCACCGGCGAGAUGGCGUUGGCCGGCGGAGAUGCUCGCGGCGAGCUCGUCUGCGUCACCGGCGGCAGCGGCUUCGUCGGCUCCUGGCUCGUCCGCCUCCUCCUCGACCGCGGCUACACCGUCCACGCCACCGUCCAGAACCUCCAGGACGAGGGCGAGACCAAGCACCUGCAGGCUCUGGAUGGCGCGGACACGCGGCUCCGGCUGUUCCAGAUGGACCUCCUCGACCCCGCCUCCGUCCGGCCGGCGGUCGAGGGCGUCCACGGCGUCUUCCACCUGGCCUCCCCCGUGAUACUGCAGCCCGCACAAGACCCCGAGAACGAGCUGCUGCUGCCGGCGGUCAAUGGCGCGCUCAACGUCCUCCGCGCCGCCAGAGACAGCGGCGUCAAGCGUGUCGUGAUGGUGUCUUCGCAGACGGCCAUGUGUCCGACGACUGCCGACUGGCCUGCCGGCAAGGUCAUAGACGACGACUGCUGGGCCGACGUUGAGAUCCUCAAGAAACUCGAGCUUUGGUACAACGUCUCCAAAACGCUGGCGGAGAAGGCGGCGUGGGACUUCGCCGGAGAGGAAGGACUGCAGCUGGUUGUGCUGAAUCCAGGGCUGGUGCUGGGCCCGACGUUGACCCCGGCACCUACUGGCAGUCUCCGUCUGCUGAUGCUGCUUCUGGGAGGCCAGAAGCUCGACAUGGAACCCUUCUUCGUCGGCUGCGUGGACGUCAGAGAUGUGGCACAAUCUCUGGUGGUGCUCUAUGAGAACCCGUCGGCGCAGGGGCGCCACCUGUGCAUGGAGUCCGCCGUACGCCUCGUCGAUUUCCACGAUGAACUUGCUAACCUUUACCCUGAAUUCCCGGUUCACAGGAUCCAGGAGGACAAACAGGGCUGGGUGGUGAGGUCGAAGGCUCCGUCCAAGAAAUUGAUCGAUUUGGGCGUUCGUUUCACCCCAUUCGACAAAACUGUCAGGGACACGGUGGAUUGCCUAAGGAGCAAAGGAGAAAUCUAGCCUGUGACCUUGAACAAAUAUACAUUUUGUGUAUGCCAGGUUUGAAAACUGUUGCAGGAAAAAAAUUCUGCUGUAUGAACUGCCGCCGUGCAUGUAACCAUGAUCAAUAAUGCAUGUUUUCCAUUUCAUGUUUCAA